rnacentral:lncRNA from 1 species
UCCAAUUUAACUUAAUUCGACUUGAUUGGGCUUGAAUGCGUCUGUUUGAGAUGUAUUUUACUCGUUUUGGGUUGAGGUGCACCUAACAUAACUCGAUCUGACACAGAUCCAACUCAUCUCUAUCUAAAGUAGGUCCAAUUAAACUAAACACGAUUGAAUCCUAAUAACCUUGGUUUGACUUGGACUUAACCCAACUAGUUUACUUAACUUAGACUUGACCUAACUUUAUUUACUAGGAUUUGAAAUCGAUUCUUAAAGACCGAUCCAUGAGUUAGUCCUGG